CUUCAGUCUCAAAGAGUGAAGGAGUGACAGAGGAAAUAACUCAAAGUGUGAGACCCCUGACAACAGAAUCUGCACCCUGCUUAAACAACAGUUUGACUUGCAACAAAGAAAAUGAGUUUUCAAGUCCCUCCACAUCAUUGGCAGACCUAUACCCGUCAACACCACUGUCCAUGGACAACCGGGAAACCUUUGGAAUAAAAAAAAAAAAAAGAGUCAGCAAAGGAGAUGAAGAGCAACAACUCACGAAAAAAUAUUUGAAAGAACGAACAGCAGAGUCUUUACUACGGCAACAAAAAAUAGGACUACAAAUAAAAAAACUUGAACUGGAA